GACGAACGCUGGCGGCGUGCUUAACACAUGCAAGUCGAACGGAAAGGCCCUGCUUUUGUUGGGUGCUCGAGUGGCGAAGGGGUGAGUAACACGGGAGUAACCUGCCCUUGACUUUGGGAUCACUUCAGGAAACUGGGGCUAAUACCGGAUAGGAGCUCCUGCUGCAUGGUGGGGGUUGGAAAGUUUCGGCGGGUGGGGGUGGACUCGCGGCUUAUCAGCUUGCUGGUGGGGUAGUGGCUUACCAAGGCUUUGACGGGUAGCCUGCCUGAGAGGGUGACCGGGCACAUUGGGACUGAGGUACGGGCCAGACUCCUACGGGGGGCAGCAGUGGGGAAUCUUGCCCAAUGGGCGGAAGCAUGCUACAGCAACGCCGAGUGCGGGAAGAUGGCCUUCGGGUUGUAAACCGAUUUCGCCUGUGACGAAGCGUGAGUGACGGUAAUGGGUAAAGAAGCACCGGCUAACUACGUG
rnacentral:rRNA from 1 species